rnacentral:rRNA from 1 species
GACGAACGCUGGCGGCGUGCCUAAUACAUGCAAGUCGAGCGCAGGAAGCCGACGGAACCCUUCGGGGGGAAGUCGACGGAAUGAGCGGCGGACGGGUAAGUAACACGUAAAGAACCUGCCCUCAGAACUGGGAUAACCACGAGAAAUCGGGGCUAAUACCGGAUGGGUCAUCGGACCGCAUGGUCCGAGGAUGAAAGGCGCUUCGGCGCCGCCUGGGGAUGGCUUUGCGGUGCAUUAGCUAGUUGGUGGGGUAAUGGCCCACCAAGGCGACGAUGCAUAGCCGACCUGAGAGGGUGAUCGGCCACACUGGGACUGAGACACGGCCCAGACUCCUACGGGAGGCAGCAGUAGGGAAUCUUCCACAAUGGACGAAAGUCUGAUGGAGCAACGCCGCGUGAACGAUGAAGGCCUUCGGGUCGUAAAGUUCUGUUGUAAGGGAAGAACAAGUGCCGCAGGCAAUGGCGGCACCUUGACGGUACCUUGCGAGAAAGCCACGGCUAACUACGUGCCAGCCGCCGCCGUAAUAC